UGGGGAAUAUUGCACAAUGGGGGAAACCCUGAUGCAGCAACGCCGCGUGAAGGAAGACGGUUUUCGGAUUGUAAACUUCUGUUCUUAGUGAAGAUAGUGACGGUAGCUAAGGAGCAAGCCACGGCUAACUACGUGCCAGCAGCCGCGGUAAUACGUAGGUGGCAAGCGUUGUCCGGAAUUACUGGGUGUAAAGGGAGCGCAGGCGGGGAGCCAAGUCAGCUGUGAAAACUACAGGCUUAACUUGUAGACUGCAGUUGAAACUGGUUUUCUUGAGUGAAGUAGAGGUUGGCGGAAUUCCGAGUGUAGCGGUGAAAUGCGUAGAUAUUCGGAGGAACACCGGUGGCGAAGGCGGCCAACUGGGCUUUAACUGACGCUGAGGCUCGAAAGUGUGGGGAGCAAACAGG
rnacentral:rRNA from 1 species